rnacentral:tmRNA from 1 species
GGGGACGAUCGGUUUCGACGGUAGAUGUUUUACAGGGGGAAGCGGGCCGAGAACCCCGGGUCAUCUCGUAAACGUCCUGGGAAAACAAUAAGUGCCGAACCUAAGCGCACUGACUUCGCCCUCGCUGCCUGAGCAACGAGUCGAGUCUGGAACCCUGAGCUAGCCUUCGCCUCAGGUCCUUCCAUCAUCCAGAAGGCCACUGCUUUCAGUCCUCGUCGUUGGGGCUGUCUGAACACUUAGACGACUGAGCUAGUCGGCGACUUGUCCAUGAGAGCGCCGUAGCUGAGAAAACGCCUAUAUGGACUGCGCCCGGAGAAGCCCCUGUUUCGCACUAUCGGACGCGGGUUCGAUUCCCGCCGUCUCCACCA